GAAAGGGGGGAUGGGUCCCCUCGGCCCCAGAGCUGCGCAGCGGGGGAGGGUGGACCGGCGGGAGCCGGAGGGUCCUUCGGCAGGCAGGCAGCUCACCCACCCCGGCGGCGUGCAGCCGGGCGGGAGGGUUUGGGGGAGAAGGGCCGCGUGAAGAGAACGGUAGGCAGAAGGAGCCGCGGUGGCCUCUUCACGACGUCCCGUCCCCGGCGCUGAGGCGCAGGCACAGAUGCUUAAAACAGACGCACAAACCCGUGAGGAGUGUUUGAGGAAGCCAACGUCUCUGAAAAUGCGGUCUUCCUGUGUGUCCAUCAGCCAGCGAGAAAACCUCUAGAAGCCAUCGGAGUCCGGCAGCGCCACAGUAGAAACCAGCUCCGUCAGAAAAGGGAGCGAAGCCGACCAGGCGAGGGCCCGGCGUGAGCAAGUAGACUGCGCAGACCUAACAAGCCUCAGAAAAGCUUUAUAACUAAAAUUAGCCCUCCCCCCCCUUUUUUAUUUAAAUUUUUUCUUGACAGGGUUUCUCUGUGUAUCCCUGGCUCUGAGGGUCUGGAACUUGCUUUGUACACAAGGCUGGCCUUGAACUCACAGAGUACCACCUGCCUCUGCCUCCCAAUUGCUGGGAUUAAAGAUUUUCACCACUAUGCCCCUCUCCAAGUUUAAAGACGCAUACAUGCUGUACUGGCCUCCAGGCACUUGAUCUCAUGAGUGGUGAGGGAAUAAAGAACAGACAGACAGA